AUAACAUUCGGAUCGUCGGUCUACCGAGCAAUUUCAUAAGCUCGAUGCAAGAUCUUCCAAAUCGU
rnacentral:pre_miRNA from 1 species